UGGCUCAGACGGUAAAGCAUCUGCCUGCAAUGUAGGAAUCCCGGGUUUGAUUCCUGG
rnacentral:tRNA from 1 species